CCUACGGGAGGCUGCAGUGAGGAAUAUUUGUCAAUGGCCGAGAGGCUGAACCAGCCAAGUCGCGUGAGGGAAGGCGGCCCUACGGGUUGUAAACCUCUUUUGUCGGGGAGCAAAGCGAGUCACGUGUGACUCAUUGAGAGUACCCGAAGAAAAAGCAUCGGCUAACUCCGUGCCAGCAGCCGCGGUAAUCCGGAGGAUGCGAGCGUUAUCCGGAUUUGUUGGGUUGAAGGGGUGCGCAGGCGGAGGUGCAAGUCAGCGGUCAACUUGCGGGGCUCAACCCCGGACUGCCGUUGAAACUGCAUGCCUUGAGUGCGCGAGAGGGAUGCGGAAUGCGUGGUGUAGCGGUGAAAUGCAUAGAUAUCACGAAGAACUCUGAUUGCGAAGGCAGCAUACCGG
rnacentral:rRNA from 1 species